rnacentral:rRNA from 1 species
GCGUUAAGUUGCAGGGUAUAGACCCGAAACCCGGUGAUCUAGCCAUGGGCAGGUUGAAGGUUGGGUAACACUAACUGGAGGACCGAACCGACUAAUGUUGAAAAAUUAGCGGAUGACCUGUGGCUGGGGGUGAAAGGCCAAUCAAACCGGGAGAUAGCUGGUUCUCCCCGAAAGCUAUUUAGGUAGCGCCUCGUGAAUUCAUCUCCGGGGGUAGAGCACUGUUUCGGCUAGGGGGCCAUCCCGGCUUACCAACCCGAUGCAAACUGCGAAUACCGGAGAAUGUUAUCACGGGAGACACACGGCGGGUGCUAACGUCCGUCGUGAAGAGGGAAACAACCCAGACCGCCAGCUAAGGUCCCAAAGUCAUGGUUAAGUGGGAAACGAUGUGGGAAGGCCCAGACAGCCAGGAUGUUGGCUUAGAAGCAGCCAUCAUUUAAAGAAAGCGUAAUAGCUCACUGGUCGAGUCGGCCUGCGCGGAAGAUGUAACGGGGCUAAACCAUGCACCGAAGCUGCGGCAGCGACACUGUGUGUUGUUGGGUA